AUGAUUUGUCCAAGCAAUAUGUGC
rnacentral:siRNA from 1 species